UAUUUCUUAAUAAUAAGACUUGAAAGUUGAAAUUAUUCCUUGAUUCAUGGGCUACAGAAUGGAUGUAGUGUUAGUAGAUAGGAAAACAACAUUAAUCUCGUUAUACAUCUGCAUCAGAGCUCUGGGGUGACCUGGUGCAUCGUCAAUGAACAGUAAUAUUUUGAAAGGA